rnacentral:rRNA from 1 species
AUUGAACGCUGGCGGCAGGCCUAACACAUGCAAGUCGAGCGGAUGAAGGGAGCUUGCUCCUGGAUUCAGCGGCGGACGGGUGAGUAAUGCCUAGGAAUCUGCCUGGUAGUGGGGGAUAACGUCCGGAAACGGGCGCUAAUACCGCAUACGUCCUGAGGGAGAAAGUGGGGGAUCUUCGGACCUCCCGCUAUCAGAUGAGCCUAGGUCGGAUUAGCUAGUUGGUGGGGUAAAGGCCUACCAAGGCGACGAUCCGUAACUGGUCUGAGAGGAUGAUCAGUCACACUGGAACUGAGACACGGUCCAGACUCCUACGGGAGGCAGCAGUGGGGAAUAUUGGACAAAGGGCGAAAGCCUGAUCCAGCCAUGCCGCGUGUGUGAAGAAGGUCUUCGGAUUGUAAAGCACUUUAAGUUGGGAGGAAGGGCAGUAAGUUAAUACCUUGCUGUUUUGACGGUACCAACAGAAUAAGCACCGGCUAACUUCGUG